GAUGAACGCUGGCGGCGUGCCUAAUACAUGCAAGUCGAACGCUGAAGCUUGGUGCUUGCACCGAGCGGAUGAGUUGCGAACGGGUGAGUAACGCGUAGGUAACCUGCCUCUUAGCGGGGGAUAACUAUUGGAAACGAUAGCUAAUACCGCAUAAAAGUCGAUAUCGCAUGAUAUUGAUUUGAAAGGUGCAAAUGCAUCACUAAGAGAUGGACCUGCGUUGUAUUAGCUAGUUGGUGAGGUAACGGCUCACCAAGGCGACGAUACAUAGCCGACCUGAGAGGGUGGUCGGCCACACUGGGACUGAGACACGGCCCAGACGGCUACGGGAGGCAGCAGGAGGGAAUCUUCGGCAAUGGGGGCAACCCUGACCGAGCAACGCCGCGGGAGUGAAGAAGGGUGUCGGAUCGUAAAGCUCGGUUGUAAGAGAAGAACGAGUGUGAGAGUGGAAAGUUCACACUGUGACGGUAACUUACCAGAAAGGGACGGCUAACUACGUG
rnacentral:rRNA from 1 species